rnacentral:rRNA from 1 species
GACGAACGCUGGCGGCGUGCCUAACACAUGCAAGUCGAGCGAACGGACCAGAAGUUUGCGUCUCUGAUGUUAGCGGCGGACGGGAGAGUCACAUGUGUAUCACCUACCUAUCAGACUGGGAUAAUUACGGGAAACCGGCUCUUAUACCGGAUGAUAUCUUGCACCGCAUUGUUCAAUAGUGAGAUUCGGUCGUUCUGUCAGUAAUAGCUGGAUACGCGCUGGAUUAGCUUGUUGGUAAGGUAACGGAUUACCAAGGCAGCGAUGGAUACCCGACCUGAAAGGGUGGUCGGCCACACGGGAAGGGAGACACGGCCCCGACUCCUGCGGUAGGCCGCAGUAGGGAAUCGUACGCAAUGGGGGAGAGCCUGACAGAGCAACGCGGCGUAAGUGAUGAAGGUGCUCGGAGCGGAAAGCUCUGUUAUUAGGGGAGAACAGAUGUGUAAGUAACCGUGAAGAUAUUGACGGUACCGGGUCAAAAAGCCACGGCUAACUACGUG